rnacentral:snoRNA from 1 species
GCGACCUUACAUGAACAGGAUCUGUUGUAUAGGCUCGUAGCACGGUAUCCUUGAGUUCUAAGGAGACAGGAAACCAAGUAGGGUGGAUGAUCGCGUGGCUGUGAGACUAGAGCGUGAUUAGUAACCCCACCAUAGCCCACUCGGUGAUGAUUGUCUCGUGACUGUCUGACAGACU